GAAAAGCAUUUUGCUGUCUAACAGCGGUUUCGUAAAUAAAAUAAAUACAAAAGAUGGAUGCUGAACAACAGGAAAAGCGAAUUUAAAAAGAAAUAACAAAGCAGGAGUAGCUCCAGUACUUCACACAGUUUGCAAUCCACAACUUGGAGCAAAAGUUUGUAUGGAAAUGAAAUCCUAUGCCUGCUCUAACUCUUCCGAAACUGCCG